AAUGAUUUAGUAAACAUUCAAUAGUUCAAGAGUGAAAUCAUAUAGAACAAUGAAAUUACUAUAGAUAAUCUUUGAAUUAUUUGAGUUACUUCUCACUCUCCAAUUCAUUACUGAGCAAAAAUAGAUAUUGAAUAUUGUUCAACAAAAUCUUGUGAAAGUUUCCUGUUCAGUAGCUACAAAUAGAAAUGAAAAAGUUAGAUAACAAAGACUUAGGUGAUUAUACAAGUCUUCUCAAAGUGCACUACCAAUACCAGUGCUUACCAUUUGCAUCAAAGUGAAAAAUGAAAACACAUUGGUAGUGAUAUUUAAAUAACACUACCCUUACAAAUGAACAAAGGUCCUGCAGGAAGCUGUUGAAACUAUACUAAUCAUUCUGACAAGCAUGGCUAACAUAGGCUCCAUAAGCAAUGACGUAACUCCAAUUUUCAAGAGCUUAUACCUGUGUGACUAAAAGGGUAAUAGAAAUAUGAAAGAGACAGAAAACAAUUAAAGAAAAAUCUACAAACUAAAAGACAUGAUAUAUAUUUGUUCUCUAAAGCUUGGUACAUAUAUUGGUCCUCAAUUAUCAAUCCACUUUUGUUUUAUAUUAUCAAAAAUUUACAGUCAAUGAUACUACUGUUUGUCAACCAAAAUCAAACAAACUAGUGAAAUAGAGAAUAUCUCAAAACCAGAUGCAUUUGAGUUGAAAUGUUCUGAAUAUAAACAAAAUGCAAAUGAAGCCAAGAUGAUCACUUGUCAAUUACAGCAAAAAAUGACGACACAACAAUGAAAAGGAUUGGUGGAUGCGUCAAAUUUAAGGUGACAAUGACCUUUACUGGAUGAAAGACAAAAGAUGUCAAUUAACAUGCAAUAAUGAUAAGAAGGAAAAGCAAAUAUCAAAAGAAAAAAUGUUUUUUUUUAUUCUAUUUCCUUUGGUACCUAAUGACACUUAUCUCUCUAGAUGAUACUUUGGACCAGGUAAGCUAUGGACAACCUCACAGUCACACAAUCAAGCAUAAUCAGAAGAUUGAUCAUUUAUCAGACAUCAGAGGAAAAUAGGAGACCUUACUUUCAAACCUUUUCUAACAUCCAUUCCAAUAGCAAAGGUAGAAAGAAAGAAAGACUAGGAGAACAAAACUUAUUCAAGAAGAGACUUAAUGAACUGAGUUUUGCACAAAGUAUAAAGUAAACUACUAUAGUUUUCUCUUAACUAAUAACACACAACAACAUGCAUGACUCCUCGCACGCCAUUAGUUAAGGCCAUCACUGUUCUGAUGGGCUCUGCAAAUGGCAUACAGGGAGCCAGGCACGCCAAGUAUGCUAAUAGUAAUAUAUAAAACCAAAUGUAAAGAUAGCCAUAUUUAUCUCACUAACAUGGAAGAAGGUGAGAUGCAUAGAGAUGACCAGAUCAGAUAAUUGGUGGUGCUGAAGCUAAAAAUGGUUUGCAAGUAAUAUCUAUGAGGUAGAAGCAAUUGAACAGCAUGUUAUAUAUAUACAGCAUGAAGGAACACAAGUCCUUCCAUGUCUCCCAAAUGACAAAAACACCCCUACAACCCUUUGGCUACUGUUUUAACUUGGGAAACAACUAAGAAGCUAGCAAUUUGGCAUGAAGCAAAGCUAACUUUGUAAAUAAUUCUACCUGAACCUACCUUGUCUCUCUCUUUUUCUGUUCCCUACUUUACUUUUUCAAACUCUGUAAGAGUUAAAAACACAUUGAAGAGAGUAGUGUUAUAUAUAUAUAAAUAACUGAGAGAGGAGGGACUGAAGGGGAUAGACAACUAGGGUCUUGUCAUGUUUACUGUUGGCUGUGAUGGCUCUAGGCAUGGCUCAGGAUUCAACUUCUUUUUCCAUUACAUAAAGGGCAAGUCAUUUUUAUCUUGAGAAACUAAUUUGUCUACAAGUGCUUGGAUCCCCUUAGAUUCCUAUUCCCUCACCAUUGAGUUUCUUUAAAGAACAAGAUAUUUCCCUCUCUUGUCCUUUUCCCUCUACACUUUGGUAUUUCUUUUUUCUUUCUCUUUUGGUAUGGUAUACAUGAUAUAAGAAUACAACUGGAAUAGAAAUUUAACAAGCUAGGGAGGUACUCCUAGGAAGCACUUCGGUACUUAUUUCUUUAAUUUUCUAGUUUCUCCCCUCCUUUAUUCCCAUUUUUUUCAUUCAUUGAAUCAACUUCUGCAGGCAUUUGGAAUAAAC
rnacentral:lncRNA from 1 species